rnacentral:misc_RNA from 1 species
GAUGAAGAACGUAGCGAAAUGCGACAAGUAAUGUGAAUUGCAGAAUUCAGUGAAUCAUCGAGUCUUUGAACGCACAUUGCGCCCCCUGGUAUUCCGGGGGGCAUGCCUGUCCGAGCGUCAUUGCUGCCCUCAAGCACGGCUUGUGUGUUGGGCCUCCGUCCUCCUCCCGGGGGACGGGCCCGAAAGGCAGCGGCGGCCCCGCGUCCGGUCCUCGAGCGUAUGGGGCUUCGUCACCCGCUCUUGUAGGCCCGGCCGGCGCUUGCCGACACAUCAAUCUUUUUUCCAGGUUGACCUCGGAUCAGGUAGGGAUACCCGCUGAACUUAAGCAUAUCAAUAAGCGGAGGA